GCCGGGUGUGGUGACUCAUGCCUGUAAUCCCAACACUUUGGGAGGCUGAGGUGGGUGGAUCACUUGAGGUCAGGAGUUUGAGACCAGCCUGGCCAACAUAGUGAAACCCCAUCUCUA
ensembl:misc_RNA Metazoa_SRP Metazoan signal recognition particle RNA